CCCGCUGAAUUUAAGCAUAWUAUUAAGCGGAGGAAAAGAAACUAACUAAGAUUGACAGAGUAAGGGCGACUGAAAUGUCAAGAGCUCAGCAUGUGAAUCAGCGCUCGCCUCUUUGUGAGCGCUGAAUUGUGGUCUUACGACUUUUGCGUUCAGUACGGGUCCGACCAUGUUUUUUGGAAUAAAAUAGCACAGAGGGUGAAACUCCCGUGCGUCGGACCUAGCGAAGCAAAUUGUCACUGAGUCGAGUUGUUUGGGAUUGCAGCUCUAAUUGUACGGUGGUAAAUUCCAUCUCAAGCUAAAUACUGGCAGGAAACCGAUAGCGAAAAAGUACCGUGAGGGAAAGAUGCAAAGAACUUUGAAAAGAGAGUGAAAGAGUACCUGAAAUUGCUGAAAAGGAAGCGAACGAAGCUAGUGAACGCUGCGUCAUACUUUCCAACUUGCUUGCAAUUUGGACGCUGUGGCCAGCCCAGUUGGGCUUGACUGCGUCUGGUGAAAACUGGCAACGAAAAGACUCCAUUUUCAAGCGCCAACUAUCUGCACCAGUCGCACUUGAGCUGAACGAAAUAGAUUUGUUUGCCCCGUCUAGAAACACGGACCAAGGAGUCUAACAUAUGUGCGAGUACAGGGGCAACCAACCUCGGUGCGCAAUGAAAGUGUCAGAGGCUGGAAUGUCGUAACAAACAUUGCACAGUCCGCCGGCCUCCAUCCUUUGGGAAAAUGGUCUGAGUGUGAGCAUACAUGUUGGGACCCGAAAGAUGGUGAACUAUGCUUGAGUAGGGUGAAGCCAGGGGAAACUUUGGUGAAGGCUCGCAGCGAUUCUGACGUGCAAAUCGAUCGUCAAACUUGAGUAUAGGGGCGAAAGACUAAUCGAACUAUCUAGUAGCUGGUUCCCUCCGAAAUUUCCCUUAGGAUAGCUGCAAUCGAACAAGCCAGUUUUGUCAGGUAAAGC
rnacentral:rRNA from 1 species